rnacentral:lncRNA from 10 species
AUGCCCCUCUGGCCCGGUAUCAAGGCUCUGGCCCACUCUUCACAACAGGUCCAUUGGCCAAGGAAAGAGGAGGGGUUCUUCUUCCUAAAUGGGUAAUUGUCAUUCUUCUAGAGGAAGUCCACCAGCUUAUGCAUAUUUAGAGGCUCUACUGCCCGAGAGGAGGACCUACUCAGCACCUAUGGAGGAAGUGUGGGAGGCAGGCCUAGGGUCUGAACAUAGGCUUUCUGCAGAGGGACUAAAGCCAGCAGCUGUCACUGCUGCUGGACAUGGAGAGGAGAGGACAUGGACCUUAAAGUGGAGGGUGAAAGUGAGUCCUCUCUGAGGUUGUUUGGCUUCCAGAAGUCAGGACACAUCGAAGCCCUCUGUCCCAGAGGACUGGGACCCUCUCAAGCCUAAAGCUUCUGCCUGAGGGUCCAGAAGACGGGGACAUCGCCACAGGGCAGGUGGUUUUCAGGUGGGUCUCUGCAAGGAGAGUCCCACAACUCCCAUAUAAUCUUGGGGACACUGAGAUAAGGCGCAUCUCUGGCAAGAGGGUAGCCCCAGCCCCUACUUGAGUUGUGGUGACACCAGCCUUAACUAUUCUAAGGGCUUCUGUAAAGACAGAGAUGGAUAAAAUGAAGGAUCUAAGAUGACUAACUUUGGCCACCCAAGAGACAGAGGCCAGUGCCAUGACCUGUUGGCCUUGGCCAAGGUACUUGAAGGAGGAUGGGCAAAGCCACUGAGAAUGAGCAGCAAUCCCUGUUUCAGGGAUGCCAGAUGAUCUCUUCCAGGAUGAAGAGAACGAGAUUGAGGCAAAGCUCCUCCUAAAUCCAUGCCAGGAAAAAUGAAGUCUUUGGACCUUUCCUGCAGGGAUCAGGCAACGUGGGAAGGAGAUAAGGUUUGCCAGGAGCAAAGGGCCCUGAAGUCUGUCCUGCCCCAAACAUGCUGGGCACAUCUCUUGGAGGUGGUGUGUGUAGUGUCUUAAUGCUGGGCAUUUAGGAUGCAUGUGGCAUUCCAGCUCUCCACUUUCUGCACCAUGGUAAUCUGGUGCUUCCUAGUCUCUUGUGGUUGGGUGGAGCCAUGAGACUAGUGAGGGCCAACGAACUGUGAGUGCGUAUGAUACGGAUAAUUUAUGGACCAAACCAUUUAAUUUGUGCAACCCUCCAGAGUGCUCUUUUAUUCUUCCACAGAGACUGGCUAUUCCUUUAGCCUACAUCUCCAAUGAGGAAACAUGGGGCAGAGCCCCCAGCUGACCCUUGAUGGACAUGUGGCACUGAUGAGAUAGAAACUUGGCUGCUGCUGGGCAUGGUGACUCGCGCCUGUAAUCCCAGCACUUUGGGAGGCCAAGACAGGCGGAUCAUCUGAGGUCAGGAGUUCAAGACUAGCCUAGCCAAAAUGGUGAAACCCCAUCUCUACUAAAAAUACAAAAAUUAGCCGGGUGUGGUGGUGGGCACCUGUAGUCCCAGCCACUCGGGAGGCUGAGGCAGGAGAAUCGCUUGAACCCGGUGGGGGAGGAGGUUGCAGUGAGCCAAGAUCACACCACUGCACUCCAGCCUGGGUGACAGAGCGAGACUCUGUCUCAAACAAACAAACAAACAAACAAACUUGGCUGCUAUGUCAAUAAGAUAGGGGUUGUUUGUUAACGCAGCAUAACCUUGUCUAUCUUGGCAUGCCACUGCUGGCUUCCUUCCUCAGACCAGAGCCCCAGCCAGUGAUUAUCACACGUGAAUGGGAGGGGGAGGGCAGAUGAUGAAAGCAGCCCCUCAUUCUCCACCCGAGCCAGGGAAGGGCUCUCCUUGGUGGAAGUGAAUAUAACUGAACCAUUAGCCAAGCCAAUCCAAAGGAGCCAGAGGAAGAUUCCGAAUGAAGCAGAUUCUAUUACCAGCUACUCUGAGGCUGUCCCACCAGCAUCUUGGUGCCUGGACUGGAACCAGUCACUGGAUGCAGAAAUAUUCCAGUUUUUCUGCCUGGCCUAGGGUAUGAAUGUUAAUCUGAGAUUACGGUGUGUUUUGGAGGGUUUUAAUAUUCUGUCUUUGAAGCCAGGAGCCAUCUGCCUUCUUCCUGUGUUCCCAGCCCAUGGCCGACACAGCUGGUGCUCAACAAAUGUUUGCUAACCAAAGAGUGGGAGAGUAUGCCUCAAACUUCACCCUUCAUCUUUUUGGUAUAAGGCUGCUGAAGAGACCCCAAAGGGCCCAUGGCAACAAUCAAUCCAGAGACCAGCUUGCCAAGCUUCUGUUGGUUCGCUGGGAGAAUCCUGGAGCUUCUCUAACCACAGAUCAGCCUUUGGAUGAGGAAAUAUAAAGGCAUUCACUUCUGGUGGUUGUGAGAGCAUGCGGUGGGGGUAGGGAAGGCACUCAGGCAGGGGCCAGAAGCUCAAGUGACCUUGGUUAUGGCUGGGCGACACCAAAGGCCCUGGCAGUCUGCAGGGAAGUCUAUCCCCUGUCCGUGGGAACCUGGAGUCCCGGUACGACGGAAAUGCCGUUGAGACUGCUGGACGGGCCUCUGUCCAGACCACUCAGCCUUUCACCAGAGACUUUCAGUUUCAGUGGCGAGAGUGGUUUCUGAGUUGGAGAAAGAAGAAAGAGGGAGAGGAAAUUGACUGGGCUCCCAGGGUGAUGGGCCGGGCUUGUGGUUACCGAUGGAAACCUGGAGAAGUGUGCGGGCUACAUCAUUCUUUCUUUCAACAGACUCGGAGUGUCUGCCCUGGGCCAGGAACUCUGCCUGACCUCCCAGAUGAGUGUCAUUAUGAUGCUUAAAUGAGGUAAUCUAUUGAGGACCUAACCCAGACACCUGGGACACAGGAGGCACCUGUCAGUGGUGGGUGCCAUCAUUCUCCAUUCUCCUGAAGAUGCCAGGCUGUCUUAUCUCCAUCGUGCUAAGGAGGACAAGGCAGGUGGGUUCCGGCUUUGGUCAUGGGUAGGCCUGAGUUUUAAAGGGGGAGGACCAAGAGGGAGGCAUUGGGAGGUGACACACUGGGGCUGAAGGCAGAGCUGUCUGUCCUGCACCUGCCGCAACCUCUCCCCUUUGCUUCUCUGGACUUCGCUUCCAUGGUAGUGGUAUUGGGAAGGGAAGCUGUCCUUUCACAAAGUACACAAGCUCUUCUCUGACUUCCAGGCCCUUCUGAAAGCAGGCAAGUCCCAGCCAGGGAAACCUGGAGGCUGGGAGGAGUCUCAGCCUAAGCUCGGACCCAGGGCCAGGUUCUUCUUGGACUGCGCCUGGAUUUACCCUCAUUUCUUCCUGUCCCAGCCAGUCUCGAGAGCAAAUGCCCUGGGCCUCCUACAAGCCUGUGACACCCCAGCCUGACAGGGACGUGGUGGCAGCAAAGCUGCCAGGGGUCUUCAGAGCUGGCACGAGACAGGCAAGGGUCUGUGAGGAGACCAGUUAGCAAUGUCACAGCGCCUUCUGGCUGGGUCUGGGAAAGACAGAAGGAUCUGGAAUCCCUCCCUCCCUCCCUUCCUUCCUUCCUUCCUCUAGCAUUUAUUGGGUGCUUAUCAGUUGUCCAUGUAUGGGCCAUCUAAAGAUAUGGCCCAGCCCUCAGGAGCUAACAAUCUAACAAGCUUAAUAAGAAGGCUGACACUCCCAGACACACCGACUCUUCCUCUGCCCCAUGAGAAGAGCACAUUUUUCAAGGCAACAGGGCGGAGGUUACAGAGGAGAUGUUCCUAAGGUGUCAUGUGGAUAAAGUUGUUCAUGCUCCCCUGCUGCAGGUGGCAGACAGGAUGCCAGAAUGUCACUGAGGGGAUGGAAGGGCUCAGGAAUUCUCAUAGGUGUCUCUGUCCAUAGACGUGGGCUCAGCAUCAAGGGGCCAGGGCAGAGACAAGCCAGAAGGCGUGUUGGUGGUGGGCAGUGCGUAGGGAGGGACAGGUGGGUGGUGGGGUGGCAGGGCGCUUCCCUCCUUCCCGUUCCUUACCUUGGCAGUGUCCUUUCCUGACCAUGAUGUAGCCCUGAUCACACUCGCAGUGGUACGAGCCCUCGGUGUUGGUGCACUGCCCCCCGCUGCACACCCCUGGCUGCUCACACUCAUUGAUAUCUGUGAACACACAGAAAAGCCCUGAGUCACAGCCAGCCCUGGAGGAUGGUGGAGGGGGCGGGGUCCUGGAGCAUUCCUUCUAGAGGCCAAGGACAAAGGAUGCCAUGCUGAGGCCUGGGCAGGGAAGGCAUGCUGGCUGCAGCCACAAUUGCCUGGAGGGGCUCCUGGGCCAGGUCUGAAAUGAUCUAGCUCAGGCCCCUGAUAAACCUGAGUUCCUUUCUCUCAGGGGAGUCUACUCUGGGGACCCAUGGGGAUCCUUACAACUGUUUCCUCACCCUCAUGCAAGGGCUGAUCUGGAGGUGGGGUAGCAGUCCAUACAGUAUAAACUGCAGAGGCCAAAAGGACUCCCACCCCGCUCCUGGCCCCACUAUAUCCCCUUCGGGUCUGCUCCUGGAGUCCUUCCUUCCUUUCUUCCUUUAUUUAUUUAUUGAGACGGAGUUUCGCUCUUGUUGCCCAGGCUGGAGUGCGAUGGCGCCAUCUUGACUCACUGCAACCUCCGGCUCACUGCAACCUCUGCCUCCCUGGCUCAAGCGAUUCUCCUGCCUCAGCCUCCCAAGUAGCUGGGAUUACAGGUGCCCGCUACCACACCCAGCUAAUUUUUUUGUAUUUUUAGUAGAGAUGAGGUUUCACUAUGUUGACCAGGCUGGUCUUGAACUCCUGACCUCAAGUGAUCCACACUCCUCAGCCUCCCAAAGUGCUGGGAUUAUAAGCAUGAACCACUGCACCUGGCCUCCUGGAGUCCUUCCUAAGGACCUUCAUAAAGGUUAGGAACCAAGCAGCCAGUGAGGGAUUGCGUUUUAGGUAACCAUGGAUCUGUAGGGUGUGGUUUCUGUCACUUUUCCAAAGUAUAUUGGUGUCCCAUCAUCUAAAGCCCAACCCCACUCACGCCCCUCCACUGCUUAAACUCCUACCAGAGACCCCUGCUACCUCCAGUUCUGUUCGCAGCUUGGCUCACAAGGCCUUUGCCAGCUGGCCCAGCUCUGCUGUAUUUGCUAAUUCACACAAGUCCCUUGGUAUAGCCUCAGCUAUUGCAGAUUUCAGCAGUCCAAUCUCCAAGCCUUUGUUCACACAAAUGCUUCCACCUGGAGUCUCUUUCCUCACGAUGGCCAGCAAAUCCCUGCCCCCAUUUCAAGGACUGGUUUAAUGCAUCACCUUUGGGUCCUGUGGGUCCCCAUCCCCUGUCCCCACAGUCAAAUUAAUCAAGGCCUCACCUUCCCACUCUCCCCCUUAAACUGGGACUGAUACAAACACUUCACAGAGUCCUUGUGCAGAUUAAAUACAAUAAUCCAGGUGAGGGGUUGAGCACUGUGCCCACCUGGCAUAAGGUAAGCACUGCAGAAAUGUUAGCUAUUAUUAUCCUAGUGUUAAACCCCAUAAAAUCCCAGCUCCUCAAGCCUGGCGUGUGAGAUCUUGCAUGACCGGCCCCAGCCUGCUUCUCAUCUGUUUCCUGCCGCCCGCACCUCUCCUACCCUCGCCUAACCUCAGGACCUGUUCCUGAGCCUCUGCCCACACUGUCCCCUUGCCUGGAACAGCUUCCUACACACCAGUGUGACUGCCUCCCACUUAUCUCCAACCCAGCGUCCCCUGAGGGCCCAGCUUUCAGUGUACCUGUUCAUUUACUUGCUUCUCCCUGACUAAUGGGAACAUGCCUUAUUAUCUCAGCAUCUCCAGUGCCCAGCACAGAACCCCAAUAAGUGCUUACUGAAGGAAUUGAAUAAUAACCAUUUGUUUAAGGACAGUGUCUUCACUUGAGCAAUACUUCAUAAAACUCCAGUGCACAGCAAAGUCUCUGCCAGAAGGUGGGAAAUGCACACUCCUAGGCCCACAGCCAGAGAUUCUGAUCCUGCUGUACUGGUGGGCCCAGGAACCCACGCUGUUAUAGCUCUUCAGGCAAUUCUGGAAUAACUGGUGUUCACUGUGAGAAGCUCUAACCCCAAUGGAAGAGAGAAGGGAACUCAUAGACAGAGCCGUAUGUGGGAACUGGAUGAAGAACUCAUUAUCCCCUGAGGUCAGGACGACUGUCUGAUAGAUGGUGCUGGAAAACUCCCUCACUCCAUGGAGAAAAAUGGAGACGUGAAUAGAGAAAGACCAGGUUCUUAACAGCCAUAUGAAGAUGGACUCCAGAUGAAUCAAAGCAUACCAUAAAAGGGAAAACUAGAACUCAAUUAAGGUAUAGGAGAAUAUCUUUAUGACUUCAGGAUAUGGAAGGAUUUCUUAAACAAAGCCCCCAAAACACACAAAAAUAAGGCAAAAUGGUGAAUUUCAGUAAAUCAAAAUUAAGGAUUUCUGUUCCAAGAAAUGUAGAUAAGCUUAAAGGAUAGAGGACAAAAUGGGAGCAUUGCAAUUUCUAAACCCGGCCAAGAAUCUAGAAUAUAUAACGGACUCCUAAAGAGCCCCAGGAAAAAGCAGCAACCACCAUUGGAAAACUGAGCAAAAAUGGGAGCCAGCAGUUUACAGAUGAGGAAACCCACAGGCUAAUGUAUGAAGAGAUGCUUACAUUUAUUGGUAAACAUUUACUUAGAUAUUUAAUAUGUAAAUAAUUUAUCUUAUUGAUAAUAUAAAUUAUGAUUUAUAUUAAUUAUAUAUACAUUAUUUAAAUAAUCUAUAAAUAGAUAUAAAUAUCAAAUCAUUGAGGUAAUGAGAUAUUACUUUAUGAGACUGGGAAGCUUCAGAAAGUGGGUGUUAUUCUGGACAAGGCCUCUUCCAGUGGUACCCAAGCCCCACUGGGAGAAGUACUUAGAGCCAGCCUUGAACCCCAUCCCCGUUCCCCAGCUGCUGGGGCUGGCAGAGACAUCUUGGACACCCAGGCUGGCACGGUGGCAGAAACUUGUGUCUGCACCAGUCCUGGUGACACCAUUCUCUGCAGCAGCUGCUGCUUAUCCCAGGCCAGCUCCCCAGGCUGGGUCUGCAAAGAGCAGUGCCUCUGGCCCACAACACCCACCUAGACGAUUGGAGCCCAGAGAAGCCUCCUUCCCUCAGCCUCUCUCCUGGCUCCUCCAGCCUGUUCUGAGCCCUGCCCCUUAAGUCAGCUCCCCGGAAGUCAGCUGACCCAGUCACCACUGUUCUGCUCACAGACUUCUACUGGCUACCCAUGCCUGUGAGACAGUGUCCAAGCGCUUCAGCCUGGCACUCAAGACAUUUCCCACACUGGCCUCUUCCUCCAGGUAGCCCUGCUCCAGUCAUACUGCAUUCAUGAUUAUUCCCAGAGCAUGCCAGGGAACGUUCACUAUUCAGGUCUCUGCAAAGAUGCUUCUCUCUACCUGGAAUACCCUCUGCUCCCUCAAUUCCUAUUCACGCUCCAUUCCUAUUCAUGCUCCAACACCCUGUGUGUAAGGGAGUGUGUCUUUGGAAGCAAACCAUGCUUUGGAGCUAGAGUGAUUUGAUUCUGUUUCUAGCUCUGUCACCACUAGGUUUGAGGCCCCUGGGUAUUUCAAUUCACCUCUGAGCCUCAGUUUGCUAAACUAUUAAAUGGGGCUAAGGAUUUCCAUAACAUGGAGUUGGGAUGAUGAGCUUCAUAUAACAAAAUGCUUGGGACAUUGCCAGCAUAUAUUAAGUGCUCAUUAAAUGGUAGCUAUUCUUGGUCAGGUGUGGUGGCUCACACCUGUAAUCCCAGCACUUUGGGAGGCCGAGGCGGGUGGAUCACAAGAUCAGGAGUUCGAGACCAGCCUGGCCAAUAUGGUAAAACCCUGUCUCUACUAAAAAUACAAAAAUUAGCCGAGCGUGGUGGCAGGCGCCUGUAGUCCCAGCUACUCAGGAGGCUGAGGCAGGAGAAUGGCGUGAACCCAGGAGGCAGAGGUUACAGUGAGCCAAGAUUGUGCCACUGCACUCCAGCCUGGGUGACAGAGCGAGACUCCAUCAUAAAUGAAUGAAUGAAUGAAUGAAUGAAUGAAUGGUAGCUAUUUUUAUUCUGCUCCAUCUCGAGUACCCGAAUAAUCUCAUACAGAACAACUUGCUCCUCAUCUGGAUCCUACAGUGUCACCAUUCACACCUCACUCAUCUCAGCAUCCUCAGAGCUUGGCACAGUGCCUGGCACAUAGGUGGUGCCAACGCAUGAGAGCAUAAUGAACACUACCCGUGAUUCUCCCGCUCCUCCGUUAAGUUAGGAGGUCUGCCCCUUCUACUUCCCUUCCCUCCAUAAUCAAGUGAUUGGACCUGGAUGGCUUUGGUUUCUGUAAACUGGACCCUUGGGGGAUUGGAACCCGAGGGGAUCCUGGCAGCAGGAGGGUACACAGCUUCCCUGGCCUCCCUGGGGGUCUGGCCAGAACCAGCAAUGUGAGCCCCAAGCACAGGCAGGGUCCCUCUUGAGGUGAAGGAUUUACAACUGGAUUAUGAAUCUUAAGGUGUUGCUUAGAAAGUGC